CGUCGAAUCUGGGCUUCGCAAGGGGGCUUAAGUCGUAACAAGGUAGCCGUAGGGGAAUCUGCGGCUGGAUCACCUCCA
rnacentral:rRNA from 1 species